AAUUCCAUGCUAGGUCACCCCUAAUGAGGAUCACCCUUCUGAUCUUGACACGUGUCCCUGAAUUCGAUGCUCAACCCAGCUCAUGGAGUCAGCGAAACCCGGUUCUGUUUCCCCCAAAACCCGGCUACAGGCGGGUUUUUAAUUGUAUAGGUUAGGACACGUGUUUGUGUGCCAUUUAUUAUUGAAAUGAAGCUUACUGAACAAUCUUGGUGAUCGGACAAAUCAGAAAUUCUCCUUUUCCGGCUUGCUUUGAAAGAUUUGUCGCAUCGACCCGAAGUUUCAUGUUUCAUGUGGUGAAUUUUUACAAGAUCCGUCAUCGGUUUAUAUUGUUCCAACAUUUCAUUGUGUUGAAUGCGAAAGGGGAAAAAUCAAACUUUUCGAUCGUGGAGGCCCGGGAUCGAAGCAAAUUUGGGAGGUUAAGCAUGCAGCUGCAAAUUUCGUGAGGAAGGCAAUAGCAUUUCUUACUGUGGCAGAGAUUGGUUGUAUUGAGGUUCCAAUUAUUGUGUUACCCGAGGAAUAUUAGAUGAUGGAUCAUGUUGGUAUUCCUUCAACCUUGCAUCCCGCUUCACCUAUUCCUAUUCAUAAUUCAAAGAGUUUGCUGACAAAAAGACGUCUGACAUAUGAGGAAGUUGAUGCUGUUAAAAAAGGCAGUGAAAUACAGAAGACGCCAAAGAAUAAUUCAGAACUGGUUUUGGAAGAGAAACAGGUGUUACGUUUGGAUCCCCGCCGUUCCCCUCGUUUGGUUGAACAAGGCAAGAAAAUAGAAGAAAAGAAGGCGAAAGAUGAGGAUGAUUAUGCAGCAAAUGAAGCAUCUAGCACUGCCCUUUGUAAAAAUUGUUUAAAAAUUCUGAAUUACGCAACGGCAGAGGAAAAUGCAAAGAGUAAUA